rnacentral:lncRNA from 1 species
GCCAUCAAAUCCACAGAAAAAUAAGUCAGUCUGUCUGUCAGCCGAUGAUGAAUAACAGAGGAUUUUUGAAAACACCGGCGGCAAGGCAGGGAUUCCUUACUCACUCAGUGCCAGGAUCACGCUGCUGUGGACUGUGCCAAUGAUAAUCACGAAAGUCUGAGCUAGCUGUCUACUGAGAAUUUGUCAGUGCGUCCAACUGGCCUCACAACCGCAGACCACAUGUAACCAUGCGAGCCCACAACCUCCACAUCCGGCUUCUUCACCUCCGGGAUCGUCUGAGACCAGCUAUCUGGACAGCUGAUGAAGCUGAGUAUUUCUGUCUGUAAUAAAGCCCCUUUGUGGGGAAAAACUCUGAUUGGCUGGGCCUGGCUUCCUAGUGGGAGGGCAUUGGCCGACUCGCUUGGGAGCCAGGCCCACCAUGGCUGUGCCCC